UAUUGUCUACUUUUGAUUUUUUACACUGAUAAUGUUCUAUUCAUUAUUUGAAAGUUUUAUUCUUGCUUAUUUAUUCACUUUUUCUUUGUAUUAUAUGCAAGUUUUGUUUUAACUAAAUGUUCUUUUUGCAGUAAUUUGAUUUAAUUAUCAAGUAAUUUUGGAAUUAGCAAUUGUUUUAGUGUCGGCAUAAUUCGUGCCAGCAGCCGCGGUUAUACGAUUGAUGCGAGUGAAUACUUUUGGUUUAGCAGUUAUUUAUAUUAUUUUGAAGAGUUUAAAUUUGAAUUUAUAAGGUGAAAUUUGAAAUUUUUGAAUAGCUCUUAUUAUGAACCUGUGAAACUUAAAUUAUAAACUAGGAUUAGAUACCCUAUUAUUUUAAGUGUAAAUAUUAUUUACCUGGGUACUAUUAGUUAAGGUCUUAAAACCCAAAGAAUUUGGCGGUACUCCAUUCCAUUCAGAGGAACCUACCCCGUGAUUGAUAGUACACGAUUAACUUUACUUAGUCUAUUUGUUUGUAUAUCUCCGUUAUCAGAAAAUCUUUUUAGAGUUUAUAAUUUUCAAGAUUCACAAUUUUGAAAUAUUUCAGGUCAAGGUGCAGCUUAUGAUUAAGAGGAGGUGGGUUACAAUAAAUUUUUGUUUAUUACGUUUUCUAUAAUGAAAUAUUAUGGAUUAAGGUGGAUUUGAUGGUAAUUUGAUUGAUUUAAGUCUUUUGAUAUUGGCUCUGGGGUGUGUACACAUCGCCCGUCGCUCUCAUUAUUGAUUGGUUUUAUCUAUAUUUAUUAUGGUAUUUGGUCAAGUUAGAUGAGAUAAGUCGUAACAUAGUAGAUGUACUGGAAAGUGUAUCUGGAAAGUUAAAU
rnacentral:ncRNA from 1 species